GUUCGACGAUAUAAUUGAAAACAACGACGACAGCGUCUGCUACAUCCUCAGGGUGCCGGGGGCGCGCAAGCCGAGGUGCGUUGUACGCCCUGCAGCUUACCUCGGCUUGGUGGGUUGUGUCAAUCACUCAAUCCGCGUCCGCCGGUCAUGAUCCGCGGCUGCCUUCACUGGGACCCCAACAGUUAUGCCCUCGCCGGUGUAGUGGCUGUUUUCGACACCGUGGCCGAAUCAUUCAAAUCGAUGCGCCUCCCGGUUGCUGCUACGGUCUGCUGCACUUGUUUGCACGACAUGGAAGGUAUGCUUGGCCUCAGUUGCUUCGAUGAAAGCGGAACGGUUGCGGAGGUCUGGGUGCUGGAUGACUACGAGAGGGAGGUCUGGUCACUCGAGUACAAGAUUAAUUUCUCAUCGGACAGCAUGUGUAGCUUAGCAAAGAGACACCUGGUUUUGUCCCACGAGGGAGACAUGCUGCUGUACAGUAACUCUGGAAGCCACAUGGUUCACUAUGAGCGCAAGUUUCUAGAGAAAUUCCAAUGGGAAUCAUGGGCUUCAACAUUGACAGGACAUUUGUUCAAAGAGAGCCUUGUCAAUCAUGCUUUCUUUCUGAAGCCAUGUAGUGCUCCUACCGUUGAACAUCGAUGCCUUUUCACAAGGCUCUAACUAAGGCAACAUCAAAUCAAUCAACUAAUACCUAAAUUAACAAGGCGUAGUGGGCUACAGUUUGAAGAUUGAUCUUUAUGUUUGUCACCCUUUGUGUUCAGUACUCAAAGUAAGCGCACGGCUAGAAGCUCCAACUGUCCAACAUGGUCAAGAGCUGUUUGUAAAUCAUCUUACAUUUAAAUAUUACAUUUAGGAAGCUACAUUGAUGUCCUGACCCUUAAUGCUUACAAAUGAUAUAUCUUUUCCUUGCCAUAUUUUGUGUUUGAGACAGAAAUUAUUUUUCUUUAGUUUCUUAAGGAAUGUUUCGGUCUUGGAUUGGAUACCUGAUCCAAAUAAAAUGAAAUGGAAACAAAGCUGGUAUGUCAAUUCAGUUGUCAAUGAAAUGGAAACAAAGCUCGCCGUGAGGUCGUUCCAGAUUUGACAGAAACAGGAAUGCUUAGGUGAAGUGUGGUGGUGAAGGGCUGCGAGGAAUGAUAUGCUACAGAUUUCUCUAGGCUGCACUGACAGAGUUUGCAGGUGACGCUGAUAGAAGCAGAGGAGGAGGAUAUGAUACGUGUUGUUGCAUAAAGGCAUGUUUGUUCAUAUAUAAGCGGCGUUGUUACUUGUUGCCGUCAGUAAGAGAGGAGGAGCCGAGAACGUCAGUAAACCUGCCAGUGAACCAUUGCUGCUGUCGUGCCAGGAAGAAUACAUCAAUCCUCAGCCGAUGUAAUGGGCCUCCGUGGACAUUCUUCUUCGAUUUGAUUUUGGUUCCGCUUCAAUAAUGGGCCUGUCGCUUGGAUCAAUAAUGGGCCUGGAUCGGAAGUCAAAGGGCCGGUCGG